CGUAACGCCCAAUCUUCUUUGCAUAUCUACAUUACUUGAAACCCUAAUCCCCAAUUCCUCUUCCAAUAUUUCAAUCACAGUCAUUUAAGAAAAAUCAAGAGACGAAUUUCGAAAAUUCCCGGCGAUUAUCUCAUCCAAACAUUCCAGAAGGUGUUAAGUGGACUUGGUUACCAUGAGAUUCAGAAAAGGAAGUAGAGUUGAGGUAUUUAGCAGCAAAGAGGCGCCUUAUGGUGCGUGGCGAUGCGCUGAGAUAAUCUCAGGUAAUGGACAUACCUACAGUGUUAGAUACUACUCUUUCCACGAGGAUGCAGUGGUGGAGAGAGCUCCAAGGAAGAUGAUUAGGCCGUGUCCUCCGCAAGUGGAUGUAGAGCGAUGGAAGAGUGGUGAACUGGUGGAAGUUCUUGAUGAUUUCUCCUGGAAAGCUGCCACUGUUCGUGAAGAGUUAUCUGGAAAGUACUAUGUGGUUCGGUUGCUUGGGACUCCUGCAGAGUUUACUUUUCACAAGGCAAACGUCAGGGUUCGUCAGUCGUGGCAAGAUGAGAGAUGGCUUGCAAUUGGAAAGAUAUCAGGUUCUGCGAAGUCAUCCACACUCACUGGACCAGACCUACAUCGGAAGCUGCAGCCUCAAAUGAAAGGCAUACUUCUCCGCGAGCCUAGUGUUGUCUCUCCUAGAGUAUUAAAGAGGCCGUUACCUCACAACUGGUCUGAGUGUGCUGAAUCAUACACAGGAAAGACCAAGAAGAUACGAUCACUGGAAGGUUCCUCCAAGAAUCCCCAAACUGGUUGCUGUCAAACGGUCUGGGUAAGAUCAAAAGGUCUUAGUGAGAACGUAGUCGCUGAUGAUUGUUACGAUAGCGAUGCGUGCUCAGUUGGUAGUUGUAGCGCCACUAGUUAUGAUGGGAGUAACAUGCGACCUUGUAUGCUAGAUGGCUUUAGUCAACAGGCAGACUCAUGUAGCAGCGAUGCUGAAUCUCAUUGUGGCCUUGCGGAAGAAGAAGCUAGGCGGAAGGAUUCAUUAGCAGGCGAUGGAGCAAGAAGUUCCUGUAGGUCUGAACUAUAUACUUACCGCAGUACUUUGGGGAACUUGUUCGCUUCUGGUCCACUAAGUUGGGAACAAGAAACGUCCUUAACUGAUCUCCGUCUUUCUCUUAAUAUAUCAGAUGAUGAACAUUUGAUGGAGGUAAGAAAUUUGAUAUCUGCUGGUACACGCAGUCAAUUUUGCUAGUAUCAAUCAGCAUUUAUUCUUUUUCUUUUUGUCCUGACAUGUGGAAUCAACUGUCAUAUAGUGUUGUUUUCCAGUGUGUAGACAGCAGAAUAUAAGUAUGUACCGAGACUCUGAUUAGAAUGAAUAUUUACGAGGUUCAUUACGGUGUUCUUUUUUACUGCUCUGUCAGAUUUCAGUUAGCUUCCUCUAUUUUAAUAGAAUAAAGCAAAAUUCAUGUAUACAUACUCUGAGAUAUCAUAUUUUUUAAGGGCUGUUCUAUUGGUGUCGUCUUUUAUUCUGUGAUGUCGAUUUUGUAGAUAAUGAAUUUAUGCUCCUCGUUUGGGGGCAGACUUGUGUGUUGAUAUUCUUGACCUCGUCUUGUUACUUGUGUGGCAAGAUGGGUCAGUCGUCUUGUCCUCGUCAGUAUCAGUAAUAUGUGGAUUUUUCGUUCAGUGCAUAUCCAAACUUGUGUCUGAUCUAUUCAGUGCUUCUACUUGUAGCUCUAUGAAGUGUGUUGCAUAGCGGUGUGAGUUUCCUACUCAUCAUCCCUAGAACAGUAUCGCUUUGUUCGUGGCAUACAGACUUUUUGCUUUUAGAGAUCUAACUUUGAUGCUGGGGUUUACGACUUCUCCCAUGGCCAUCUGAAUGGUGUCCUGGAGUCGGACUUGUCCACAGGGCUUUAAAGCUGUGCUUUCGAGCAGGUUUCCUUAAAAUAUAUUUACAGUCUGAUUGGAUAAAUUUGCUGACAACAUGUGAAGAUCGAGUAGUUUCUCUGUACUUUGUAGUUCAUUCGUUACGUCUCACGGUGUCUUCCUUUUGGCAUAUUCCUUUGACGCUCAUUCUUCAAUUCUUUGGGGAAUAAGCGUUGUGGCAUGGUGAGACUGAGAGAGAUGUAAGAGUUAAAUGGCAUGAACAGGGUAUUUGUAUCCACAUACGUGAAAAUAGUAAAAUACUAUACUCUGUGCUCUUGAUUCCUUGUUCUGAUGUGUUCUCAGAAUUGCUUUAAGAAUAAGGACUCCACACAUUUUCUGGAUGAACGCAGACAAUGUGUUAGACUUGAUUGAGAUAUCUUCGGACUCUGAAAGGCAAGAAGUGGUAGCAUUCGCUGCUUAGUUAUUCGGAUUUGCAUUGUGGAUUCUCCAAGCAAGCU